rnacentral:rRNA from 1 species
AUACGUAGGGCGCAAGCGUUGUCCGGAAUUACUGGGUGUAAAGGGUGCGUAGGCGGCUAUGCAAGUCAGGCGUGAAAUCCAUCGGCUUAACCGAUGAACUGCGUUUGAAACUGUGUGGCUUGAGUGAAGCAGAGGUAGGCGGAAUUCCCGGUGUAGCGGUGAAAUGCGUAGAGAUCGGGAGGAACACCAGUGGCGAAGGCGGCCUACUGGGCUUUAACUGACGCUGAGGCACGAAAGCGUGGGGAGCAAACAGGAUUAGAUACCCUGGUAGUCCACGCCGUAAACGAUGAGUGCUAGGUGUUGGGCAGCAAUGCUCAGUGCCGAAGUAAACACAAUAAGCACUCCGCCUGGGGGGUACGUACGCAAGUAUGAA